UUCUGGCUCAGGAUGAACGCUAGCUACAGGCUUAACACAUGCAAGUCGCGGGGCAGCAUGUUGUGUGCUUGCACACAAUGAUGGCGACCGGCGCACGGGUGAGUAACGCGUAUCCAACCUUCCCCUUAGUAGGGCAUAGCCCAGCGAAAGUCGGAUUAAUACCCUAUGUUCUUCGUAGAUGGCAUCUGAGACGAAGCAAAGGUUAGCGCUAAGGGAUGGGGAUGCGUCUGAUUAGGCAGUCGGCGGGGUAACGGCCCACCGAGCCAUCGAUCAGUAGGGGUUCUGAGAGGAAGGUCCCCCACAUUGGAACUGAGACACGGUCCAAACUCCUACGGGAGGCAGCAGUGAGGAAUAUUGGUCAAUGGGCGAGAGCCUGAACCAGCCAAGUAAGCGUGCAGGACGACGGCCCUACGGGUUGUAAACUGCUUUUAUGCGGGGAUAAAGUGCCCUACGUGUAGGGUAUUGCAGGUACCGCAUGAAUAAGGACCGGCUAAUUCCGUGCCAGCCGCGGC
rnacentral:rRNA from 1 species